rnacentral:rRNA from 1 species
UACGUAGGGGGCAAGCGUUGUCCGGAAUCAUUGGGCGUAAAGAGCGUGUAGGCGGCCAGAUAAGUCCGCUGUGAAAUCUCGAGGCUCAACUUCGAGCUGUCGGUGGAAACUGUCUGGCUAGAGUCCGGAAGAGGAGAAUGGAAUUCCUAGUGUAGCGGUGAAAUGCGCAGAUAUCAGGAAGAACACCCGUGGCGAAGGCGGUUCUCUGGGACGGUACUGACGCUGAGACGCGAAAGCGUGGGGAGCGAACAGG